GGAGGAGAAUGUUCCCAACCUAAAGCACUAGAAGAGGAUCAACAUUCGAGUUAUAUUAUAUUGUCAGUAUAUACGGACUAUAAAGGGAUAUCCUUACAAAAUAGUGAGCGCGAGUCAUAAGCUCGUCCUGAUUAUGUCCCUGCUCUUUGUACGCCCCGCCCAUCGCUCCUACCGAUUGAGUGAUCCGGUGAAUUAUUCGGACUGACACAGUGCUCACCUUCUGGAUGUUGUAAUGGAAAGUUUUAUGAAUCUUAUCACUUAGAGGAAGGAGAAAUCGUAUCAAGCUUGAUG
rnacentral:ncRNA from 1 species